UACGUAGGGUGCAAGCGUUGUCCGGAAUUAUUGGGCGUAAAGAGCUCGUAGGCGGUCUGUUGCGUCGGCUGUGAAAACCUUGGGCUUAACUCAGGGCUUGCUUUCGAUACGGGCAGACUAGAGGUAUGCAGGGGAGAACGGAAUUCCUGGUGUAGCGGUGAAAUGCGCAGAUAUCAGGAGGAACACCGGUGGCGAAGGCGGUUCUCUGGGCAUGAUCUGACGCUGAGGAGCGAAAGUGUGGGGAGCGAACAGG
rnacentral:rRNA from 1 species